UUGAAGAUGGCCCAGAGAGGUUAGCCUUACAGUUGCUGAUCUAGAAGCAUUAGGCAAGAGUGUCUGAGAACGAUGGUAUGAUCUGCAACACUGUCUUUUUUUUUAUUACUGAUUUAUUACUGACUAUCUAUUUCUUUCUUUGUUGUUAUUCACCAAGAGAGAACUCCCAUUAAUGGGAAUCAAAAGGAAACCCUGAAAUCAUGUUUUAAGGAUGGAAUGACACGAGUUGGUUCAGAAUUAUUACCAAGAGCUGCAUCAGCUACUGGUUUGGACACCAGUGUCGUAGAAAUAAGAACUGGAUAGGUAAUUACAAAAGAUCACAAAUGACUAAUGCUUCGUCUGAGCCCCGGUCAUCAAAGGCCAAAGUUCACAUUAGAGAGCUGUCGGAUUACAAUCUUUUUUAUAGGGACAUAUUCAAAAACAAAGGCACAAUGAAUGAUAUUAAGGGCAGGUGCGCCACAUUGGGGGAAGAUGCAAAGCAGAAAUACAUUCAAGAGGCAGCAGCACUGAGGGCACAUGGGCAGUCACAGGACACUAAACCCUGAG